GCAUCGAUGAAGAACGUAGCGAAAUGCGAUAAGUAAUGUGAAUUGCAGAAUUCAGUGAAUCAUCGAAUCUUUGAGCGCACAUUGCGCCC
rnacentral:rRNA from 1 species